GUACUCCUGAAGAGUCCCAAACUAGGACGAAACAGUUGUCCAGUAC
rnacentral:hammerhead_ribozyme from 1 species